AGUAACGGCGAGUGAAGCGGGAUGAGCUCAAAUUUAAAAUCUGGCUGGUUUACUAGUCCGAAUUGUAGUUUAUAGAAGCGUUUUCGGUGACAGCCUGGGUAUAAAUCCUUUGGAAUAGGGUAUCAUAGAGGGUGAGAAUCCCGUCUUUGACUCAGUGCAUGCUACUAUGUGAUACGUUUUCAAAGAGUCGAGUUGUUUGGGAAUGCAGCUCAAAAUGGGUGGUAAAUUUCAUCUAAGGCUAAAUAUUGGCGAGAGACCGAUAGCGAACAAGUACCGUGAGGGAAAGAUGAAAAGAACUUUGAAAAGAGAGUUAAACAGUGCGUGAAAUUGUUGAAAGGGAAACGCUUGACACCAGUUAUGCGGGUGGAAAAUCAGUCUUUUGCAAUGGGGAGUUGUGGGCGUUCAGACCGCAAGGCUGGCGUUUGCUUCAUCUUUGUUGUAAGUGAUGCACUUUUUCAUUUGCAGGUCAACAUCAGUUUGCUUUGCUGGACAAAACCCCAAGGGAAGGUGACAGCUUAGGCUGUGUUAUAGCCCUGGGGCGAUACAGUGGAGUGGACUGAGGUUUCGCAGUGUGUGCUCUCGGGCAAGGCUGACUGGGUGCUAUGGGAUCGUUCGGCGUACAAUGCAUGCAUUUUGCGUCGUGUCUUUUUCAUACUCGCUCAACUCGGCUCUUCCACG
rnacentral:rRNA from 1 species